rnacentral:rRNA from 1 species
CAACGUGAGGAACCUGCCCUGAAGUGGGGAAUAACUGCCAGAAAUGGCAGCUAAUACCGCAUGUGGUUUACCGGUGGCAUCACUGGAAAACUAAAGAUUUAUUGCUUCAGGAGGGCCUCGCGGCCUAUUAGCUUGUUGGUGGGGUAAUGGCCUACCAAGGCGAUGAUGGGUAGCUGGUCUGAGAGGACGACCAGCCACACUGGGACUGAGACACGGCCCAG